rnacentral:rRNA from 1 species
GACGAACGCUGGCGGCGUGCUUAACACAUGCAAGUCGAACGGAAAGGCCCUGCUUUUGUGGGGUGCUCGAGUGGCGAACGGGUGAGUAACACGUGAGUAACCUGCCCUUGACUUUUGGAUAACUUCGGGAAACCGGAGCUAAUACCGGAUAAUAUAUUUAACCGCAUGGUUCAAUAGUGAAAGACGGUUUUGCUGUCACUUAUAGAUGGAUCCGCGCCGCAUUAGCUAGUUGGUAAGGUAACGGCUUACCAAGGCAACGAUGCGUAGCCGACCUGAGAGGGUGAUCGGCCACACUGGAACUGAGACACGGUCCAGACUCCUACGGGAGGCAGCAGUAGGGAAUCUUCCGCAAUGGGCGAAAGCCUGACGGAGCAACGCCGCGUGAGUGAUGAAGGUCUUCGGAUCGUAAAACUCUGUUAUUAGGGAAGAACAAAUGUGUAAGUAACUAUGCACGUCUUGACGGUACCUAAUCAGAAAGCCACGGCUAACUACGUG